rnacentral:rRNA from 1 species
UCCGGAUUUAUUGGGCGUAAAGCGAGCGCAGGCGGUUCUUUAAGUCUGAAGUUAAAGGCAGUGGCUUAACCAUUGUACGCUUUGGAAACUGGAGGACUUGAGUGCAGAAGGGGAGAGUGGAAUUCCAUGUGUAGCGGUGAAAUGCGUAGAUAUAUGGAGGAACACCGGUGGCGAAAGCGGCUCUCUGGUCUGUAACUGACG